GAGUUUGAUUCUGGCUCANNCCUUUNGCNUGGCGGUCUGCUUAACACAUGCAAGUCGAACGANCUCUUCGGAGUGAGUGGCGGACGGGUGAGUAACGCGUGAGAAUCUGCCUGUGGGUCGGGGACAACCACUGGAAACGGUGGCUAAUACCGGAUGAGCCGAAAGGUAAAAGAUUUAUUGCCCACAGAUGAGCUCGCGUCUGAUUAGCUAGUUGGUAAGGUAAAAGCGUACCAAGGCGACGAUCAGUAGCUGGUCUGAGAGGAUGAGCAGCCACACUGGGACUGAGACACGGCCCAGACUCCUACGGGAGGCAGCAGUGGGGAAUUUUCCGCAAUGGGCGAAAGCCUGACGGAGCAAGACCGCGUGGGGGAGGAAGGUUUUUGGAUCGUAAACCCCUUUUGUCAAGGAAGAAGCUCUGACGGUACUUGACGAAUAAGCCUCGGCUAACUCCGUGCCAGCAGCCGCGGUAAUACGGAGGAGGCAAGCGUUAUCCGGAAUGAUUGGGCGUAAAGCGUCUGUAGGUGGCCAGCUAAGUCUGCUGUUAAAGAUCACAGCUCAACUGUGGGAAGGCAGUGGAAACUGGCAAGCUAGAGGUUGGUAGGGGUAAAGGGAAUCCCCGGUGUAGCGGUGAAAUGCGUAGAUAUCGGGAAGAACACCGGUGGCGAAAGCGCUUUACUGGGCCAGACCUGACACUGAAGGACGAAAGCUAGGGGAGCGAAAGGGAUUAGAUACCCCUGUAGUCCUAGCUGUAAACGAUGGAGACUAGGUGUAGCACGUAUCGACCCGUGCUGUAUCGUAGCCAACGCGUUAAGUCUCCCGCCUGGGGAGUACGCACGCAAGUGUGAAACUCAAAGGAAUUGACGGGGGCCCGCACAAGCGGUGGAGUAUGUGGUUUAAUUCGAUGCAACGCGAAGAACCUUACCAGGGCUUGACAUGUCGCGAAUCUUGAUGAAAGUUGANAGUGCCUUCNGGAACGCGAACACAGGUGGUGCAAGGCUGUCNUCANCUCGUGUCGUGAAAUGUUGGGGUUANGUCCCC
rnacentral:rRNA from 1 species